rnacentral:tmRNA from 1 species
GGGGUUGACUGGUUUUGACAGCGGGUAGAAGAGGUAUGUAAGCAUGUCGAGUUUUGUAUAUUUGACUCGUUAAUCCUAAGUGUACAAACUUUUUAAUUGGCGAAAAUAACUUUGCUCUUGCAGCUUAAUCGAAUUAUAGUAGAUUCAAGCACCCUUUAUGGGCGUUCGGUAUAAGAUACUGAAACAAGACACUUCUCUAGUGCCCACGUCACGAGGCGGCUAGGUUCAGAGGUGCUAAAAUAUCGAGACUAGUUGAAAGAUUGUCUCGUCCUUUCAGCGAAUUUAAGAGUCUAAGGUGUUUGUCGGUCGCCUUGAUCCAGCAAAUAUUCGAAAAUUAAGUCAGGGCUAAGCGUGUAGAAAGCAUAUUGCUUCCUUGUUUGGACGAGGGUUCGAAUCCCUCCAACUCCACCC